AAACCCUACGGGAGGCAGCAGUGAGGAAUAUUGGUCAAUGGGCGGGAGCCUGAACCAGCCAAGCCGCGUGAGGGAAGAAGGUACAGCGUAUCGAAAACCUCUUUUGUCAGGGAACAAAGGCGGGGACUAGUCCCCGGGUGAGGGGACCUGAAGAAAAAGCAUCGGCUAACUCCGUGCCAGCAGCCGCGGGAAUACGGAGGAUGAGAGCGUUAUCCGGAUUUAGUGGGUUUAAUGGGUGCGCAGGGGGACUG
rnacentral:rRNA from 1 species